UGGUCUAUGGUGUAAUUGGCAGCACAAGGGAUUCUGAUUCCCUCAGUCUAGGUUCGAGUCCUAGUAGACCAGCCA
rnacentral:tRNA from 1 species